UGGCCUCGUCCUAAGUCCUGUUGGUCUCU
rnacentral:piRNA from 1 species